GAUGAACGCUGGCGGCGUGCCUAACACAUGCAAGUCGAACGGACUUACAUUGAAGCCUAGCGAUAUGUAAGUUAGUGGCGGACGGGUGAGUAACGCGUGGGUAACCUGCCUUGUACUGGGGGACAACAGUUGGAAACGACUGCUAAUACCGCAUAAGCGCACAGCUUCGCAUGAAGCAGUGUGAAAAACUCCGGUGGUACAAGAUGGACCCGCGUCUGAUUAGCUAGUUGGUGAGGUAACGGCCCACCAAGGCGACGAUCAGUAGCCGGACUGAGAGGUUGAACGGCCACAUUGGGACUGAGAUACGGCCCAGACUCCUACGGGAGGCAGGCCAGUGGGGGAAUAUUGGGCAAUGGG
rnacentral:rRNA from 1 species